AGAGUUUGAUCCUGGCUCAGAACGAACGCUGGCGGCAGGCCUAACACAUGCAAGUCGAACGAAGCCUUCGGGCUUAGUGGCGGACGGGUUAGUAACGCGUGGGAACGUGCCUUUCACUACGGAAUAGUCCCGGGAAACUGGGUUUAAUACCGUAUACGCCCUUCGGGGGAAAGAAUUUCGGUGAAAGAUCGGCCCGCGUUAGAUUAGAUAGUUGGUGGGGUAAUGGCCCACCAAGUCUACGAUCUAUAGCUGGUUUUAGAGGAUGAUCAGCAACACUGGGACUGAGACACGGCCCAGACUCCUACAGGAGGCAGCAGUGGGGAAUCUUAGACAAUGGGCGCAAGCCUGAUCUAGCCAUGCCGCGUGAGUGAUGAAGGCCCUAGGGUCGUAAAGCUCUUUCGCCAGGGAUGAUAAUGACAGUACCUGGUAAAGAAACCCCGGCUAACUCCGUGCCAGCAGCCGCGGUAAUACGGAGGGGGUUAGCGUUGUUCGGAAUUACUGGGCGUAAAGCGCACGUAGGCGGAUCGGAAAGUUGGGGGUGAAAUCCCGGGGCUCAACCCCGGAACUGCCUCCAAAACUACUGGUCUAGAGUUCGAGAGAGGUGAGUGGAAUUCCGAGUGUAGAGGUGAAAUUCGUAGAUAUUCGGAGGAACACCAGUGGCGAAGGCGGCUCACUGGCUCGAUACUGACGCUGAGGUGCGAAAGUGUGGGAAGCAAACAGGAUUAGAUACCCUGGUAGUCCACACCGUAAACGAUGAAUGCCAGUCGUCGGGCAGUAUACUGUUCGGUGACACACCUAACGGAUUAAGCAUUCCGCCUGGGGAGUACGGUCGCAAGAUUAAAA
rnacentral:rRNA from 1 species